AGGCACUGUAUAUCAACUCCAGUUUGUACUACGUCUCUAUCUAAUCUCCUACUCUCUACUCUGUAUCUACUCUGUCUACAGAAGGGUGGAGGUAUAUCAACUCCAGUUUGUACUACAUCUCUACUGAGACCAAGUCCUGGGGUGAGAGCAGACCUUACUGCCAACGGAAGGGAUUGGACCUGGUGACCAUAAACAGCAAAGACGAAGAGGACUUUCUCCUUGAAGUGGUCCGUGCUAAGAAUUUGGAUGUAGCCUGGAUUGGUUUGUCUCCCAACAACACAAAGGAGAUGUCAACACGGGUGAAGAGAGGUGUGGGGCCAGAGGAAGGUGCUCAGGACGAGGACUGUGCUAAGCUUACGCUAUAUGAGACACCUGCAGUGAAAGAAGUAACCGGGAGACAAUGUGGGACACAAAAAUACUGUAUUUGUGAAAAAUACCUGGAUGUCAAAAAGUGAGGGAACAACUGCUAGCUUCAGCUUUUCUUUUUAAAUGGAGGGAACAACUGCUAGCUUCAGCUUUUAUUUUUAAAUGGAGGGAACAACUGCUAGCUUCAGCUGUUCUUUUUAAAAAUGGAGGGAACUGCUAGCUUCCGCUUUUCUUUUUAAAUGGAGGGAACAACUGCUAGCUUCAGCUUUUCUUUUUAAAAAGGGAGGGAACAACUGCUAGCUUCAGCUUUUCUUUUUAAAAAGGGAGGGAACAACUGCUAGCUUCAGCUUUUCUUUUUAAAAAGGGAGGGAACAACUGCUAGCUUCAGCUUUUCUUUUUAAAUGGAGGGAACAACUGCUAGCUUCAACGUUCCUUUUUAAAUGGAGGGAACAACCGCUAGCUUCAACAUUCCUUUUUAAAUGGAGGGAACAACCGCUAGCUUCAACGUUUCUUUUUAAAUGGAGGGAACAACCGCUAGCUUCAACGUUCCUUUUUAAAUGGAGGGAACAACUGCUAGCUUCAACGUUCCUUUUUAAAUGGAGGGAACAACCGCUAGCUUCAACGUUUCUAUUUAAAUGGAGGGAACAACUGCUAGCUUCAACGUUUCUUUUUUUAAAUGGAGGGAACAACUGCAUUUUCCAAGAAGCAACUGUUAGUCAUUCCAGUCAGGUUGGUGAGGGUUUUACCCUGAGAUACACAUAUGCAACAUAUAUUAAGGAAAGUUCCAUGGGUAGUUUUCUGUGGUAGGAAAACCCCCUGCAUUGUUCCAAUACGCAAAAGCACUUUCAGUCAAUAAGCUUUCCAUUUUAGCCAGACAGUUUUCAACUGAAGUCAAUGGGCAGAUGGAUAAAAACAUUUUUUUAAUAUUUUUUUUCAAGUAAACAAAUAUUUCACAUGAAUUUCUCGUAAAAACAACAUUUAGUAAAACAUUGUGUUUAGACGGGGGGCUGACACAGCAGGGUAGUAACACACACCACACACACCAUACACAC